rnacentral:rRNA from 1 species
AACGAACGCUGGCGGCAUGCCUAACACAUGCAAGUCGAACGAGACCUUCGGGUCUAGUGGCGCACGGGUGCGUAACGCGUGGGAACCUGCCCUUAGGUUCGGAAUAACUCCCCGAAAGGGGUGCUAAUGCCGGAUAAUGUCUUCGGACCAAAGAUUUAUCGCCUUUGGAUGGGCCCGCGUUGGAUUAGCUAGUUGGUAGGGUAAAAGCCUACCAAGGCGACGAUCCAUAGCUGGUCUGAGAGGAUGAUCAGCCACACUGGGACUGAGACACGGCCCAGACUCCUACGGGAGGCAGCAGUGGGGAAUAUUGGACAAUGGGCGAAAGCCUGAUCCAGCAAUGCCGCGUGAGUGAUUAAGGCCUUAGGGUUGUAAAGCUCUUUUACCCGGGAUGAUAAUGACAGUACCGGGAGAAUAAGCUCCGGCUAACUCCGUG